GCCUCGUUGGCGCAGUUGGUAGUGCGUCAGUCUCAUAAUCUGAAGGUCAUGAGUUCAAACCUCACACAAGGCA
rnacentral:tRNA from 1 species